AUACGAGCGAUUCCUCCUGCCCCCGCCGCUCGCACGAACCAUUUGCGAGGCCCCCUCGCACAAAAAAGCCCGUUUAGGGUUCCACCCACCGCCGCCUCCCUGCUCCACCGCCGCCGCCCCAUCUCCCGCUACACCGCCGCCGCCCCAUCUCCCGCUCCGCCGCCGCCCCUACUGCUCCACCCUAUCUCCUCUCUCUCUCUCUCACUCCUAACGUCCUGGUUUCCUGAGUUCCGGCCGCCGUCGAUCCCCAGGGACGUCGCGGAUCACCAGGACGCCACCAUCGCAUAUCACCACCGCCGCCGCCGUCGAUCCCAGGGACGCUGCAGAUCCCCAGUACACUGCCAAUACCCAGGACGCCGCGGAUCUCCAGAUGUCGCCGCCGCCGUCGGCGCGGAUCCGCACACGCCGCCGGCGCCACGGAUCCCCACGGACCAUGCAUACGGCGGCGAACAACCAGAACUUCUCCUCCGUAGAGGACACCGCCAUAGCUGGAAGAAUUCCAAGAUAGACCAUUGCUUCAAGGUUGGGAGCAGCCACGACAUAAUUGACAUCAAAACAAGAUCAGGGUCCUACAUAUCCGGUAUUGCUCGCCUGCAUACACUCGUAAAACAUGGUGGGGAAGACAAGCAAAUAGGCACCGGCGGAGCUAUGGCAAGGCUCAAAGGGCCAUGGCCCGCCCUGGGCUGGAACGAAGACGAGUUUUACAUGAAUUUAUCCCACAAUAAUGCAUUGAUUUUUAAUUUGGUGGCGCUAUUUGCACUAUCCAGCCCGUCAACAUUUUUUAGGUAACUCCACCAUUGCAAAUAGGUAUCACGAUGGUUGCUGCCUAGAGGGAAGUGAAAAGAGAAGACACAACAUGGAGAGGAAGACAACCAGAUAUAUCGCUUGUUGCUUUACAUCUUUUGUUUGAGCCUUGCUACCGGAUUGCUCUUGCAAUUGAGGUUUUCCAGUGAGUGUUUGAUUACAUAGAUAGGCUCUUUCCGAUGACACCAAGGCUACGACAAUGAAUAGGCAUACUCUUUUCAAAAUGGAUGGUGUGGCUCCUUACACUAAGAUGAUCGAGCAGAGAUCUAGAGUUCUCAACACAGAUCGAUGACGCCUCCUCGAGAUCCACUUCUUUGCAACCCCCAACCCUGCUAUUGUUGAUGCUCUAGGAGGGCAGACAGCCCCCUACUGUUGCUCUUGGCUCAGCCGCAAGGAUUCAAGUGAAUGAGGGACCUAAUCGAUGAUGGUGCUUUUCUGAAUCUUGUUUGUUGCAUAUGGGUGGAGAGAUAAUGUUCAUAUAUCUUGCUUCAGUUGAUGCACUGAUUCAUGUACAGUAUGGAGCACCCUGACAUCAUAGGUGUGCGCUUCACUGAAUGAAUCAUCAUGCAAUAUUCCUACUUCAAUAUAUACUCAAGGCAGCUACUCAUUUAUAUAUAAAAAUUCCCGCGUUGCUUAUUCUCCAUGGUGAUAGCCCAACCUCAUUUAUGAAAUAUUAGGGCCAACAGAGGGCUCUGACAAACUUAUGGAGAUGGUGGUGAUGUCCUCCUCUGGGGAUGGAGGGACGGAUCUAUGGGCAUCAUGAAGAAGCGCUUGGUUCCACAAGAGAACUGAGGUGCUUGUGGCGGGGUGCUCGAGGUGAGGUGAUGGCAGGGCUGGCCGAGCAGAACAAGCUCAUUGGCACCAACUCCUCGCCUUCGUCAUCACCAAUUGAGAUAAGGUGCAAAAGGAUAUCUCACUUAUCUCUUAUUCAGUCUGUUGGCUGCAGAUUUAGCAAUGUUUUGUUUGGCAGAUUUAACAAUUGUUGGAUUGUACUCCCUCCGUAAACAAAUAUAAUAACGUAGGGAGCAAAUCUGUCACAUAUAGCAGAAUUGGAAUAACAUGGAUUGAAAUUUCUUGAAUUUAUAGGAUUAUUAUUUUUCAACAAAGUCAGACGUUACCUUAGGAAGAAGGCUGUCCAAAAUCUUGGCCACAUAAAGGAGUACGUAGUUAUUGAUUUUGAAAUAAUGUAGUGCAUUAGCUAAAUUUUUUCAUUAAUUUCUGAACGCAUUUAUGUGUAAGCCCCGUCGCGAUAUUUGUUCCUCCUUUUGGUGAUAUAGGGCGGUGAGCUUUCUCCAUCUCCACUCUUUAACACGGAUUGGUUCUGCAUUUUGCAUCAAUGGCUUUGGAUAAGAAGUGAAUGUUUCUAUCUGAAUAUUAUUGAGUUAUUGUUGCUUUGUCUAGAUCGAUUUAUUCAUUUGGAAAAUUCAGUACUUUCUUAACAAAAGUAAUAAAAGGACUUGGUCUGGGAGGGAGUAGAGCCGCUUAAUUCAAUAUUUUCUGAACAACAACAAUAAAAGGACUUAUCCAGUUAUAAUUUUUCCCAGUAAAUGAUGGAAAUAUAUAUGUAUUUUUUCUCCCAAUAUGCUAUGGUCAUCUUGUUGCUAUGCAUAUAAAAUUUCAUGGCCAGAUGAGAAGCUGAGAGUUGGCUCUCCUAUCUACAUGUCUAUCUUGCUUUGACAAGGUGAUGUAAAUAUCCAAGAAAUCAUGUGAGCAGCUCCUGUAGUUCAAUAUUAUCUUUGGCCAUUCUGCUAUUUGUGUGUGAUUUUUUCCCCUAUUCAUUAUGACAAUGAAAUUCUAGAGACGACCAGGUACUGUUCUGAAGCCAGGUUAUUUCCUAUUAUCUAUGGAUUUGAUGUCUGGUGAACGGUUGUCAUACAUGCUUUCAACAAAAUUUAGAAAUGCCAAUGUUGCUGGCCUGCAUGUUGCCGGACCUGGUGCACACACAAUCACCAGAACAAGUCGUUCCAGACUUGAGGUUCAUCUUUAUGAUUUUAUUUUUGCAAUGCAAACUUGGAGCCUACUGUACAAACUAAAAGCAUGCUUAUGUCCACAUGUAGUGCAUACCCAGCCUAAAGUGAUUUUUUCCAGUUUGAUUGAUUUUAUUACUAGGGAAAAUACCAAUGGAUGAGUGCUCUCUCAGAGCUGCAAUCAAAAGUUAUUGCAAAUGGUUUGUUUGCUUUUUAUUUAUCUUUAUAGGUUAUGAGGUCUGAUUGUGCUUCCAUUUUGGAAUUGUUGGAAAGCUUAGGUUUCCUGAUCUAGCUAACAAACCAAACAGUCUAUUUAACAACAAGACAAUAGCAUAUCUGUAUGUACCUUGGGUGCUAGAUUUUCUAGCAGCAAGAUAGUAGCAUAUCUAUAUGCACCUUGAGAGUUACAUUUUCUACCGGUGCUUGUACUAUUACUAUGGGGCUUGUGUGGAUAAGGUAAUUUCUUUUAUAGUUAUUUUUUAGUGGGCUAAGUUUGGGUGUUGGUUGGGCCGUGGUGGAUAGCUAAUUUGGGCCUUGUGCAAAUUUUGCUCAACGAUAGAAAUGCUAGACUCGCAUGUGUAGGAAUUUAUGAUAAAAACAUAGAUAUUAAAAGUAUACAUACCUCACAGAAACAAUAAAAGUGUAUAUAUAUACUAAGGGUAUCACAAUAAAAUUGAGAGAAAAAACAAAUAUACUUGGUUGAAGAAGGUUUGUUUGCAUGUCUUACCACGAGGUCAGAAGUUUUGCGAGAAGGAAACUAUCCAGACGUUGGCACUCUGGUGGAACGGUGCAGAAUUGAUUAAGCUGGUUUGCGCGGAUGAGUAUGAGUUGAGGAAGCAGUUUUUAUUAUACCUGCUAAAACAACAACUUUCCUGAUAUUGCUAAAGAAUUUCUUAAGCGCAUCAUCUAGAUAUUGAUAAUUUUGUAAUAGAUGUUCAGCUGGAACAUGGACAUGUCAUUAAUCUUUUCUUUUUCUUAUCAAUUUUCAUUGCAAAAUGGACUUCAAUUAUUUAGUAAUUGUGUUUGUGUUA